GCGCCGGUGGUGUAGUGGCGCAGAGCACCCCAGCGCAGGGGUGCGGGUUCGAGUCCCGCCUGGCGCA
rnacentral:tRNA from 1 species